rnacentral:rRNA from 1 species
UACGGGGGGGGCAAGCGGUUGUUCGGAAUUACUGGGCGUAAAGGGCUCGUAGGCGGCCAACUAAGUCGGACGUGAAAUCCCCAGGCUCAACCUGGGAACUGCAUCCGAUACUGGAUGGCUUGAAUUCGGGAGAGGGAUGCAGAAUUCCAGGUGUAGCGGUGAAAUGCGUAGAUAUCUGGAGGAAUACCGGUGGCGAAGGCGGCAUCCUGGACCGACAUUGACGCUGAGGAGCGAAAGCCAGGGGAGCAAACGGG